rnacentral:rRNA from 1 species
CCUACGGGAGGCAGCAGUAGGGAAUCUUCCACAAUGGCCGAAAGUCUGAUGGAGCAACGCCGCGUGAGUGAAGAAGGGUUUCGGCUUGGCAAGCUCUGUUGGUAGUGGGAAAGAUAGAGGUAGUCACUGGCCUUUAUUUGACGGUAAUUAAUUAGCAAGUCACGGCUAACUACGGGCCAGCAGCCGCGGUCAUACGUAGGUGGCAAGAGUUGGCCGGAUUUAUUGGGCGUAAAGCGAGUGCGGGCGGUUCAAUAAGGCUGAUGUGAAAGCCUUCGGGCCAACCGGAGAAGUGCAUCAGAAACUGGUGAACUUGAGUGCAGAAGAGGAGAGUGGAACGCGAUGUGUAGCGGUGGAAUGCAUAGAUAUAGGGAAGAACACCAGUGGCGAAGGCAGCUCUCCGUGCUGCAACUGACGCUGAGGCUCGAAAGCAUGGGGAGCGAACAGGAUUAGAUACCCGGGUAGUC